rnacentral:rRNA from 1 species
GAUGAACGCUAGCGACAGGCCUAACACAUGCAAGUCGAGGGGCAGCACAUGAGUAGCAAUACGAUGGUGGCGACCGGCGCACGGGUGAGUAACACGUAUGCAACCUGCCUUCUACUAUGGGAUAACCCGUUGAAAGACGGACUAAUACCGUAUAAUACAGGGGCUCCGCAUGGAGAUAUUUGUUAAAGAUUAAUUGGUAGAAGAUGGGCAUGCGUAUGAUUAGAUAGUUGGUGAGGUAACGGCUCACCAAGUCAACGAUCAUUAGGGGUUCUGGGAGGAAGGUCCCCCACACUGGUACUGAGACACGGACCAGACUCCUACGGGAGGCAGCAGUGAGGAAUAUUGGUCAAUGGACGAGAGUCUGAACCAGCCAAGUCGCGUGAAGGAAGACGGUUCUAUGAAUUGUAAACUUCUUUUGUGCAGGAAUAAAGUGGGUUACGUGUAACCUUUUGUAUGUACUGUACGAAUAAGGAUCGGCUAACUCCGUGCCAGCCGCCGCGGUAAUAC